GCACACUCUGGGUGCUAGGGACCCAGGAUCCUCACUCAGCUCUCAACCAGCGGCCCUGAGAGGCAGGGCACUUGGUGGUUGCCCCAGAAUCCAAGACAUCUGGCAUCCCAGCCCCGGGCCGUGUGCCCUAGUGAAGGAACCUCCUACAGCUCCGGGUACAGGUCCCAGGAACUUGCAUUCUCUUUGGAGAAAUGGUUAAACAAGCAGGUAAGCUAAUUUCAG